AACGAACGCUGGCGGCGUGCUUAACACAUGCAAGUCGAACGGUGAACCUGCUUCUAUCGGGGAUCAGUGGCGUACGGGGGAGUAACACGUGGGCAACCUCCCCUCAGCUCUGGGAUAACUCCAAUAAUUUGGGGCUAGUCCUUGUUAUGACCGCUUACCGCAUGGUCUGGUGGUGGGCGGAUUUAUCGGCUGGGGGUGGGCUAAGGGCCUAUCAGCUUGUUGGUUGGGUAGUGGACUACCAGGGCGACGACCGGUACCCGGCCUGAGAGGGGGACCGGCCACACUGGGACGGGGACACGGCACAGACUCCAACGGGAGGCAGCAGUGGGGAAUAUUGCGUAAGGGGCGAAAGCCUGACGCAGCGACGCCGCGUGGGGGAUGACGGCCUUCGGGUUGUAAACCUCUUUCAGCAGGGACGAAGCGAAAGUGACGGUACCUGCAGAAGAAGCACCGGCCAACUACGUG
rnacentral:rRNA from 1 species